rnacentral:tRNA from 1 species
GGACUCAUAGGGUAGCUAGGAUAUCCUGCGGGCCUUCGAAGCCUGUGACUGGGGUUCGAAUCCCCAUGAGUCCG